ACAACCAUCCGCCUGAGAACUACGAGCACAAACGCUUAAAACUCUAAGGACUUGGCGGUGCUCUAAACCCACCUAGAGGAGCCUGUUCUAUAAUCGAUAACCCACGAUCCACCCGACCACUUCUUGCCAAAACAGUCUAUAUACCGCCGUCGCCAGCCCACCUCAUGAGAGCACAACAGUGAGCUCAACAGCCCACAGCCCACUAACAAGACAGGUCAAGGUAUAGCCUAUGAAGUGGAAGAAAUGGGCUACAUUUUCUAAAAUAGAAAACCCAACGAAAGGGGGUCUGAAACCUACCCCCAGAAGGCGGAUUUAGCAGUAAAGCAGGACAAUC
rnacentral:rRNA from 1 species